UUUAAAAAUAAUCCCCAUUUAUUCCAGAAACAAUACACCAAAGAAAUACUUGACCUGUGUUUCCACAGACUCCAUAAAUAGUCUGAUAAGCAAUUAACACAGUGCAAUCAACCCACACCACCCAUAGGUUUAGAAGUGCUUAGCAAGGUAAUAGAACAUUGUUGUUCCUAUUUUACAGCCGGAAGAGCUGAAACAGGAAACUUGGAUGACUUGUCUGAGGUCUCAUAGGAAAUCAGCGUUAUCAAUGAGGAAAAAUGUCCAUAACUCCUGACUCUCAAACCCAAUCUUUAGCCACAGAUAACUUGACCAUGACUAAAUUUAUGAACGAAAACUGAGACUGAGAUAAAAAAAUUACUUCGUUCUUCCAACUCCAACAAGAAACAAAGAUUUCUCAUGGGUAUGAGAAAUGGUCGUUACUGCAGCAAUUUAUGGAUCAAUGAGAUAUCCCAGAGUUAUUAAUGGGAAGAGGCCCCUUAAUAAAACCCAGAUGGAUAGAAAGUGGACAGUGGCACGGAGCAAGCUGUAGCCCAGGGACCACUGGAAACACUGAAACCAAAUAUGUGGCAGAGCAACAUCCCAAAGAAACUUCCAAAAUGCCAAGGGGCAUUUCUGAAGCAGCAAGAGUUUCUACAGAGACCCCUGCACUAACAAACAUUUCUCUCAUGCUGCAGCACGGGGAGCCCUGCUGUAAGGAGUCUUCUGGGCUGCUCCAUUACCGGGAGGCCUGGCAGAGCCAUGAGAAGCAGAGGCUGUUGGAGAAUGGGUGAACCAAGUCUUGCUCAGGAACCUGUCAGCCUGGGAUUGUGGUGGUGGCCACAAGACUUGCACAGCAAGGCACUGCUAGAUUUCUGCAAUAAGGCUAUUCUUAUGCUUACUGUUCAACUUUGCAUGUUUUGCAUUUCAAUGCAGCACCAUGUCACUAAUUAGAAAUAUCAUUUGUUAUCCCCUGUGUGUAGACAUAUUGUCUCAAGACGACUGGUAUUUCACAGGGGGAUGUUUCUACAUGCAGAGAUAGAAAUGAAGAUUGACCUCCUCUGGGCAUGGUUAUCUACUCUAAAGGGCUGCAGUGACUGCCCUUCUGCCCUUAGGGCACGCUUGUAAUAGCCUUUGAAGAAUAACAGCAUAUAAUUCUGCUUCAACCACCACCAGUUUCAUAGGAAAGGCAUGGCACCCGAGCGUGUGCUUCACAGAAGGAAAAGCAAUGCACAGAUGCACUGGGAGAACAAUGCUAUGGACAAUGUCGUAUUUAAGGAUCUUUCCCUUAUAUCAUCCGGUCAUAUUCACAUUGCAAAGAUCUUUGUUAGCUCCCACACACGGGAAGUUUGGGACUUCAGAUGAGGCCACAUGGCUCAUUUGGUGUCAUGCUGACCUCUUGGUUUUGUCCAUGAGAUGGGCACUUCCAGUUUUCCUGAGGUAGCAGAUAGAGAGGUCUUUGUUUCAUACCUUUAAGAAAAACAAAAGUAAAGAAAAAGGAAACAGACAGA
rnacentral:lncRNA from 1 species